CAACCCUCAAGCUCUGCUUGGUAUUAGGCCUCACCUGCUAAGGCGGGCCGUAAAAUCAGUGGCGGUGCCAUUCGGCUUCAAGCGUAGUAAUUUUCUCGCUUUGGAGGACCGGGUGUUUACUUGCCAACAACCCCAAUUUUAUCAAA
rnacentral:misc_RNA from 1 species